rnacentral:rRNA from 1 species
GACGUAGGGCGCGAGCGUUGUCCGGAUUUAUUGGGCGUAAAGAGCGUGUAGGCGGCCAGGUAGGUCAGCUGUGAAAACUCGAGGCUCAACCUCGAGACGUCGGUUGAAACCACCUGGCUAGAGUCCGGAAGAGGAGAGUGGAAUUCCUGGUGUAGCGGUGAAAUGCGCAGAUAUCAGGAAGAACACCCGUGGCGAAGGCGGCUCUCUGGGACGGUACUGACGCUGAGACGCGAAAGCGUGGGGAGCAAACAGG